rnacentral:rRNA from 1 species
UACGAAGGGGGCUAGCGUUGCUCGGAAUCACUGGGCGUAAAGCGCACGUAGGCGGACUCUUAAGUCGGUGGUGAAAUCCUGGAGCUCAACUCCAGAACUGCCUUCGAUACUGGGAGUCUUGAGUCCGGGAGAGGUGAGUGGAACUGCGAGUGUAGAGGUGAAAUUCGUAGAUAUUCGCAAGAACACCAGUGGCGAAGGCGGCUCACUGGCCCGGUACUGACGCUGAGGUGCGAAAGUGUGGGGAGCAAACAGG